UGUUGUUGAUCGACUCGAUUGUUUGAAUUUAAAAAAAUCAUGGCGAAAAAGGGUGUGAGUAGAUCUGACUGCGAAUUGAAGGCAAGUUUUUUAGUUAUUGAGAGUGACGUACGUUACUGCCUGAAGCGCGCGUUCAUCGUAAAUCGCAUUGGGUCCGGCGUCCGGUGAAUUCUCGGAAAUAUUGGAAACUUGUGGCAAGUGGCUUAUCGUUUAAUUUUUAGUCGAAGAUUCGCUUGAAUUGGUGGAUGCGGAGAAUGAUUGAAAGAAGACAGCAAUUUAUCAGCGCUGCAAGAAUUCCAUUCGCGUCGGUUUUCGUUAAUUAAUUUUUAAUUGUAGAUAUGGAAAAGUUACAUUUUCUGCCGGGUUACAAAUCUCGCCAUUUUUUAUGAGAAUUCCAUGUUAAAGUAGGCGUGGCGAAAACUGUAACUCGGCGGCGAAAACUGUGACUUUUCCAUAAUAUGUAUUAUAAUGUUAUUUAAACUUGAUUAAUGUUUAGUUUGCUCUCCAAAAUGGCGAGACAAAUAAUGUGCAUAUCUUUUUAAUUAUGAAAAUUACUAUGAAAAUACACUCUCAUUAUGCAAAAACAUUCAUCGAAUAUUAUUUUAAAAUAUUGCCCCAAUAUAAAGAGCAUAAAAAAUAUUCGCAAAAUAUUAUUAAAAUGACCUCGGAAAUAUUGGUGAAAUCUUAAAAUAACAUUUUCCAAACAUUGCUCAGUAUUAAAAAUAAAUAUUACCUUUAAAUGUUCCAUAAAUAAUUACCGAAGAUAAAAAGCGUGUCAAAUAUUAUUCACUGAAUAUUAAAAAUAAAUUUAACCAAAAUGUUCUAGGAACAUUCAGCAAUAUUCUA